UUUCUUGAUCUCAUCCUUUGAUUACUUCUCUACACAACCAUGGAUUUUAUUCCUCUCAGAGUCACAAAAACCUUGUUGAAAUUGAAUGAUAAAGGACUCAAAGGUCUGUGUUUAUGGUUUCAAGAGACCUAUUCACUGCCCCACAAAUGUAACGAGUCACCAUUAUUUGUGACCGUUGUGAAUUAUGAAGAGGAUAAAAAGAACAUUUGAGUUGCUUCGGAUUCAAGAUAUAAAUGAAGAAGAUGUUGAUGUUGAAGAAAAUCAUCUGUCAUAUGAUGAGAAACUAGAAACUCAAGAGAGUGUUGUUGAUUUUAGUAAUAUCUGCUUCUCCAUCAAAAAAAAGCUCGCAAUUGGUACCUUUUGAUCAAUAGG
rnacentral:misc_RNA from 1 species